rnacentral:rRNA from 1 species
GAUUGAACGCUGGCGGCAGGCCUAACACAUGCAAGUCGAACGGUAGCACAGAGAGCUUGCUCUUGGGUGACGAGUGGCGGACGGGUGAGUAAUGUCUGGGAAACUGCCUGAUGGAGGGGGAUAACUACUGGAAACGGUAGCUAAUACCGCAUAACGUCGCAAGACCAAAGUGGGGGACCUUCGGGCCUCACACCAUCGGAUGUGCCCAGAUGGGAUUAGCUUGUAGGCGGGGUAACGGCCCACCUAGGCGACGAUCCCUAGCUGGUCUGAGAGGAUGACCAGCCACACUGGAACUGAGACACGGUCCAGACUCCUACGGGAGGCAGCAGUGGGGAAUAUUGCACAAUGGGCGCAAGCCUGAUGCAGCCAUGCCGCGUGUAUGAAGAAGGCCUUCGGGUUGUAAAGUACUUUCAGCGGGGAGGAAGGUGCUGAGGUUAAUAACCUCAGCAAUUGACGUUACCCGCAGAAGAAGCACCGGCUAACUCCGUGCCAGCAGCCGCGGUAAUACGGAGGGUGCAAGCGUUAAUCGGAAUUACUGGGCGUAAAGCGCACGCAGGCGGUCUGUUAAGUCAGAUGUGAAAUCCCCGGGCUUAACCUGGGAACUGCAUUUGAAACUGGCAGGCUUGAGUCUCGUAGAGGGGGGUAGAAUUCCAGGUGUAGCGGUGAAAUGCGUAGAGAUCUGGAGGAAUACCGGUGGCGAAGGCGGCCCCCUGGACGAAGACUGACGCUCAGGUGCGAAAGCGUGGGGGAGCAAACAGGAUUAGAUACCCUGGGUAGUCCACGCCGUAAACGAUGUCGACUUGGAGGUUGUUCCCUUGAGGAGUGGCUUCCGGAGCUAACGCGUUAAGUCGACCGCCUGGGGAGUACGGCCGCAAGGUUAAAACUCAAAUGAAUUGACGGGGGCCCGCACAAGCGGUGGAGCAUGUGGUUUAAUUCGAUGCAACGCGAAGAACCUUACCUACUCUUGACAUCCAGCGAACUUUCCAGAGAUGGAUUGGUGCCUUCGGGAACGCUGAGACAGGUGCUGCAUGGCUGUCGUCAGCUCGUGUUGUGAAAUGUUGGGUUAAGUCCCGCAACGAGCGCAACCCUUAUCCUUUGUUGCCAGCGAUUCGGUCGGGAACUCAAAGGAGACUGCCGGUGAUAAACCGGAGGAAGGUGGGGAUGACGUCAAGUCAUCAUGGCCCUUACGAGUAGGGCUACACACGUGCUACAAUGGCGCAUACAAAGAGAAGCGACCUCGCGAGAGCAAGCGGACCUCAUAAAGUGCGUCGUAGUCCGGAUUGGAGUCUGCAACUCGACUCCAUGAAGUCGGAAUCGCUAGUAAUCGUAGAUCAGAAUGCUACGGUGAAUACGUUCCCGGGCCUUGUACACACCGCCCGU